rnacentral:rRNA from 1 species
GGAUUCCCCUAGUAGCGGCGAGCGAAGCGGGAAGAGCUCAAAUUUAUAAUCUGGCACCUUCGGUGUCCGAGUUGUAAUCUCUAGAAGUGUUUUCCGCGUUGGACCGCAGACAAGUCUGUUGGAAUACAGCGGCAUAGUGGUGAAACCCCCGUAUAUGGUGCGGACGCCCAGCGCUUUGUGAUACACUUUCAAUGAGUCGAGUUGUUUGGGAAUGCAGCUCAAAUUGGGUGGUAAAUUCCAUCUAAAGCUAAAUAUUGGCGAGAGACCGAUAGCGAACAAGUACCGUGAGGGAAAGAUGAAAAGCACUUUGGAAAGAGAGUUAACAGUACGUGAAAUUGUUGGAAGGGAAACGCUUGAAGUCAGACUUGCUUGCCGGAGCUUGCUUCGGUUUGCAGGCCAGCAUCAGUUUUCCGGGGUGGAUAAUGACGGUUUGAAGGUAGCAGUCUCGGCUGUGUUAUAGCUUUCCGUUGGAUACGCCCUGGGGGACUGAGGAACGCAGCGUGCUUUUUGCGAAAGACUCGUCUUUUUCACGCUUAGGAUGCUGGUGGAAUGGCUUUAAACGACCCGUCUUGAAACACGGCCCAAGGAGUCUAACAUGCUCGCGAGUAUUUGGGUGUCAAACCCGGAUGCGCAAUGAAAGUGAAUGUAGGUGGGAACCGCAAGGUGCACCAUCGACCGAUCUGGAUUUUUUAAGAUGGAUUUGAGUAAGAGCGCGUAUGUUGGGACCCGAAAGAUGGUGAACUAUGCCUGAAUAGGGCGAAGCCAGAGGAAACUCUGGUGGAGGCUCGUAGCGGUUCUGACGUGCAAAUCGAUCGUCAAAUUUGGGUAUAGGGCGAAAGACUAAUCG